rnacentral:lncRNA from 1 species
CCACACAACUCCUUCAUAUAAAAUCCCUCUCAGUCUCCUCCCAUCAACAAACACACAACAAUUCGAUCAGAAAAGAUGAGCGAAGAACUUAAUCAAAACCCAUCAUCAGCUCAUCAGUCUCUGUCAAUGAGAGAGGGCAGAAAGUUUCCUUUUCUGUCUCUCCCACAGAACCCAUCAUCAGCUCAGUCUCUGUCAAUGAGAGAGGGCAGAAAGUUUCCUUUUCUGUCUCUGCCACAAAACCCAUCAUCAGCUCAGUCUCUGUCACAAAAACAAUCAUCAGCUGAGAAUCUGUC